CCAAUCCUCUCGUCCCUCAGGAACCCUAUCCGCCUCCAUGCUCCUCCUCCCCCUCCUCUUCCAUCCUCCCACGCCAGUCACCUCCCUCUCCCGCAUCUCGUCUACCCGGGAUCCGAGGUGUGCGGGCGCGGAGACGUGCUUCCCCGGCGGUGGCAACAACCUACAAGCAAAGGAAGACGGCAGCGACACUUGAUUCAAUAUGCAGGAGAGAGAGAGAGAGAGAGAGAGAGAGAGAAGAGUAGAAGGAUAAGAAGGGAGGAGAGGAGAGAGAAAGAGAGAGGCCUCUGGGCGGUGCUCCCGCGCCUCCUCCCCACCCAUCUCGCCGACAUCUCCUCCCCGAGCUCUGCCCUCUUUAUGCACGACGGCCGAUGCAGCUCCACACCGCCGGCGCCAUCCCCUCUCGUCCCUUUGUCUUUGGGACGUCCUGCUGUCAUCUCCACCCCAUCACAGCCUCUGGCCAUUGGGCUGGGCCCUCCCUUCGUCUGAGUUGGAUAUGGCAUCAGUUGUUACCAUGACUUCAGUUAGUGCUCAGUCCUCUUUGGUUUCAAGGCCAAGGAGCCAUGGCAUAACAAGCUAUGGUGCCUUAAAGGUGUCAUACUCAUCAAUUGGCUUUGAAUUGGGAUCCUCAUUCCUCGGCAAGACCACAUCUCUCCAGGCAUCUGUUACCACAAGGGUUGUGCCAAAGGCAAAGUCCGCGGCUCAGAUACUACCUGAGGCGUCUUACAAAGUGUCAGUUCUUGAUGCUGCGGGAGGCAUCAAACAACCAUUGGGCCUAUUAAUUAAGAUGUCUCGAGACGCGACGGUGGUCUAUGGCACCAUCACCGUCUUCCUCAGCAGAAGCAGUGCGGGCUGCAGAGAUGGCCGGCUUCAUCCUACUCUCACGUUGCUAUUCGUCCGCCCGACGAAGAAGAGAUGCAUCAACAGGAGAAGCAACAUGCACGUACACACACUCUUCUCUUCUUUCUGAAAUUUUCUCGCCUCUAUUCCUAGAGCUUCUCAUCUUUGUCUCUUUGUUUGUGCAAAUUUUGUUUCUCUAUGCCUACAAGGUGUUCUUCGUCCACUUCCAUGGAUCCAACUAGUAGGUGGCGGCGUGACACGACUUUCUUCCGCUAGAACCGGCGACAUACGAGAUGGCAGUGGUGAGGUACAAAUUCUGGUGCAAUUCCUGGACCUCGUCGCCAGCAUGGCCAUCAGCAUCGUCAAUGACGCCGGAUCGACCCUCUUCGCUGGCGAUGAACCAGCGACUGGUGCUCUGCAGGAACUACCAACACGGCAAGUAACCGCUACCUCUUGAGCAUGCGUUCGUUUUCCCUUGAAGAGGAAAGGAUGAUGCAGCAAAGUAGUGUAAGUAUUUCCCUCGGUUUUGAGAACCAAGGUAUCAAUCCAGUAGGAGACGACACACAAGUCACCGAAUACCUGCACAAACAAUCAACAACUUGCAACCAACGUGAUAAAGGGGUUGUCAAUAACUUCAUGGUCACUCGCAAAAGUGAGAUCUGGUAGAGAUAAUAAAGUAAAUAUUUUUGGUAUUUUUGAUGUAUAGAUUGAAAAGUAAAGAUUGCAAAACAGUAGAUCGGAAACUAGCAAGAUGUAAAUGAGAUUCAAUAAUAUGGAAAAGAUACCCGGGGGGCAUAGGUUUC
rnacentral:rRNA from 1 species